UACGUAGGGGGCAAGCGUUGUCCGGAAUCAUUGGGCGUAAAGAGCGUGUAGGCGGCUUGGUAAGUCCGCUGUGAAAGUCCAGGGCUCAACCCUGGAAUGCCGGUGGAAACUGUCAAGCUUGAGUCCGGAAGAGGCGAGUGGAAUUCCUGGUGUAGCGGUGAAAUGCGCAGAUAUCAAGAGGAACACCUGAGGUGAAGACGGGUUGCUGGGCCGACACCGACGCUGACAGCGCGAAAGCCAGGGGAGCAAACGGG
rnacentral:rRNA from 1 species